AGCGAACGUUAGCGGCGCGCCUAACACAUGCAAGUCGCACGAGAAAGGGCUUCGGCCCCGGUAAAGUGGCGCACGGGUGAGUAACACGUGGGCAACCUGCCCAACCCUGGGGGAUAACCUGCCGAAAGGCGGGCUAAUACCGCGUACGAGGGCUCGACUUCGGUCGGGUUCUGAAAGCAGGCCUCUGUAUACAAGCUUGUGGGGUUGGAUGGGCCCGCGCUCCAUCAGCUAGUUGGUGAGGUAACAGCUCACCAAGGCUACGACGGAUAGCUGGUCUGAGAGGAUGAUCAGCCACACUGGAACUGAGACACGGUCCAGACUCCUACGGGAGGCAGCAGUGGGGAAUCUUGCGCAAUGGACGAAAGUCUGACGCAGCGACGCCGCGUGGGUGACGAAGGCCUUCGGGUUGUAAAGCCCUGUGGGGUGAGACGAACAGCUGGGGUUCAAAUAGGGCCUUGGUCUGACGGUAUCACCUUAGCAAGCACCGGCUAACUCUGUGCCAGCCGCCGCAGUAAAAC
rnacentral:rRNA from 1 species